AACAGAUCUGACGACGCGAGCGCGCAAAAGACGGAGAGCGCGCUUGAGCCAAAGAACUCUCAUCAUAAUCUCAAAACGGAAAGUGGGGAAACAAUUUUAGAAAUCUUUCCCAGAGACCUCAGAAAGAAAGAGAAGGUUAUAAAACACUUAACAGGUCCUCUUCAUUUCAGUCCAAAAUGCAGGAAGCAUGUCUACAGGCUUUACCAUAACACCAGAGACUGCACCAUCCCUGCAUGUGCCCUGAUUUACCCCUGCACAUGGAGUUUUAACACAGAAACAAUAUAGGCUACAAAUUCAGGACUCAUCCAGCUGAUUAUCCAACUCAUCAGGCUUUACUCCUGUCCUCAGACUACAGAAGGUGCGCGCGACUCCUGACACGACUG